UAGUCAUAUGCUUGUCUCAAAAAUUAACCCAUGCAUGUCUAAUUAUAACCAAUCUAUACGGUGAAACUGCGAAUGGCUCAUUAAAUCAUUUAUCGUUUAUUUGAUAGUACCUUACUACUUGGAUAACCGUGGUAAUUCUAGAGCUAAUACAUGCUAAAAACCCCGACUUCGGAAGGGGUGUAUUUAUUAAAUAAAAAACCAAUGCCCUUCGGGGCUCCUUGGUGAUUCAUAAUAACUUAACAAAUCGCAGGGCCUUGUGCCGGCAAUGGUUCAUUCAAAUUUCUGCCCUAUCAACUUUCGAUUGUAAGGUAGUGGCUUACAAUGGUUUCAACGGGUAACGGGAAAUUAGGGUUCUAUUCCGGAAAGGGAGCCUGAAAAACGGCUACCACAUCCAAGGAAGGCAGCAGGCGCGCAAAUUACCCAAUCCCGACACGGGGAGGUAGUGACAAUAAAUACUGAUACAGGGCUCUUUUGGGUCUUGUAAUUGGAAUGAGUACAAUUUAAAUCCCUUAACGAGGAACAAUU
rnacentral:rRNA from 1 species